AAUGAACGUUGGCGGCAUGGAUUAGGCAUGCAAGUCGCGCGAUAAGAUUCCUUCGGGAAUCCGAAAGCGGCGAAAGGGAGAGUAACGCGUAGAUUAUCUACCCCGAGGACUGGGAUAGCGGCGGGAAACUGCCGGUAAUACCAGAUGAUGUCUCCGGACCAAAGGUGUGAUUCCGCCUUGGGAUGAAUCUGCGUCCUAUUAGCUAGUUGGUGAGGUAACGGCUCACCAAGGCGAAGAUGGGUACCGGGUGUGAGAGCAUGACCCGGCUCACUGGGACUGAGACACUGCCCAGACACCUACGGGUGGCUGCAGUCGAGAAUCUUCGGCAAUGGGCGAAAGCCUGACCGAGCAAUGCCGCGUGCGGGAUGAAGGCCUC
rnacentral:rRNA from 1 species